ACGAACGCUGGCGGCGUGCUUAACACAUGCAAGUCGAACGGAAAGGCCCUGCUUUUGUGGGGUGCUCGAGUGGCGAACGGGUGAGUAACACGUGAGUAACCUGCCCUUGACUUUGGGAUAACUUCAGGAAACUGGUGCUAAUACCGGAUAGGAUCUCCUGCUGCAUGGCGGGGGUUGGCAUGUUUCGGCGGUUGGGGAUUGACUCGCGGCUUAUCAGCUUGUUGGUGGGGUAGUGGCUUACCAAGGCUUUGACGGGUAGCCGGCCUGAGAGGGUGACCGGCCACAUUGGGACUGAGAUACGGCCCAGACUCCUACGGGAGGCAGCAGUGGGGAAUAUUGCACAAUGGGCGGAAGCCUGAUGCAGCAACGCCGCGUGCGGGAUGACGGCCUUCGGGUUGUAAACCGCUUUCGCCUGUGACGAAGCGUGAGUGACGGUAAUGGGUAAAGAAGCACCGGCUAACUACGUG
rnacentral:rRNA from 1 species